GAUGAACGCUGGCGGCGUGCCUAAUACAUGCAAGUCGAGCGAACAGACGAGGAGCUUGCUCCUUUGACGUUAGCGGCGGACGGGUGAGUAACACGUAGGUAACCUACCUAUAAGACUGGGAUAACUUCGGGAAACCGGAGCUAAUACCGGAUAAUAUUUCGAACCGCAUGGUUCGAUAGUGAAAGAUGGCUUUGCUAUCACUUAUAGAUGGACCUGCGCCGUAUUAGCUAGUUGGUAAGGUAACGGCUUACCAAGGCAACGAUACGUAGCCGACCUGAGAGGGUGAUCGGCCACCCUGGAACUGAGACACGGUCCAGACUCCUACGGGAGGCAGCAGUAGGGAAUCUUCCGCAAUGGGCGAAAGCCUGACGGAGCAACGCCGCGUGAGUGAUGAAGGUCUUCGGAUCGUAAAACUCUGUUAUUAGGGAAGAACAAACGUGUAAGUAACUGUGCACGUCCUGACGGUACCUAAUCAGAAAGCCACGGCUAACUACGUG
rnacentral:rRNA from 1 species